GUCAUGUCACGUUGAAACACCAGUUCCUGUACGAUCACUGAAGUUAAGCAAUAUCAAGCCAGGUCAGUGCCUAGAUGGGUGACCACUUAAGAAUACUAAAUGCUGUAAG